UGGUGACUUUGGUGAUUUUCUGCCUUGUGCUUCUGGCUACUGCAAGUGCUUUGCCUGCCCUGAAGUUGCUGGGCAAAGGAGCUUCUCCAAACAACUCUUCCAAACUCAGGUUUAACAGAGGUGACCAUCUGGGCGUGAUUGUGCCAUUUAUUGAGGCGGAUAUUCAGUGUAUGAGGAAGACUCUUCACCCUCGUUGAAGUAUAACUGUAAACACGGGAUCUGUUAGCCUCUUUCUUCAGAAUCCAUUGUCUACAGAAAUGACUACACCUUGAGACACCCUUCCCACCCCCUGCCCCAUAGAGAUUGCCAAAAAUGGUUCUGAAUCCUCACAUCCCCAGGGUUAGGUGUGCUUUUUUCUCAGCAUAGUACCCCCAUUACUUGUUUCAAAUGACAGGAAGCCAUAGUGGAGGAGUAUAAUAAGGUCGAGAAAUGAAAUAUUUCCAAGCCCUUGGUGAUCCAUCAAAACACAAGAAAUGUGUAAUUGACAUUCAGCCAAGUUUCUGGAGUGGAAUUCAAAACAGUUUGUUAAAAGACAAAGCAUUGCCCUUCAAAAAUAACACACAGUGUAUUUCAUUUUUGAUAGCUGACCAUCACCAUUUAUUAACAUGAUUUAUCAGAAAUCACUAAAAUUAAUAAUAAUGAUCUAAUAAUAACAACUAUGUGCCAAGCACUGUUCU